GAUACUAAUUUUAUCCGUGGAACACAGAGAACAAGUCGCAUGUGACGAUUGUAUUAAAUAAAUUAUUUAUUUAUUUACUUUAAUUUCUUUUUGUGAAAAUUAUUUGAAAUUUUUACUCUCUAUACAUUUAUUUCACACAUUUUGAGUUUCCAAUUACACACAAAGACACUUCUCACAUGUCACACAUUUUUUCUAUGGUUAAUGUCUUCCA
rnacentral:lncRNA from 1 species